AGAGAGCCUUAUCCACCCCCCUUUGAAAAACAACCUUUUGAUGACUCCUUCUUCAAUAGCCUCAAAUAGCUCUCUUCAGACAUGUACUUUUCCAUCAGAGCCAAACAAGCCAAGGUUUCCCCCCGUAUUAACAGAGAAUCAGAUUCAUCAAAGUCCAAUGGCAAGAUUGAGGUCUAAAGUGAUGGUCCAGGAUGCAGAGGAUAAUCUUGACAUCGUUUAUGUUUGAUCAAGCUCUAAGUGUUCCCAUAAUACCUGCUUCAGUUAUCUUCAUGAUCACUAGAAUAAAAUGUUCUCAUCUGCCUAUUCCUCUAGGGGAAAUCUUCAUAUGCUUGAGGUAGACAUACUCCUAAAUUCACUGCCAUCAUGGGUUCAAGGUUUUUGAGAUAUCUUAACCUGGUUUAUCCCACGUGCCAAGAAGAACUUACUGGAGUGUGAUCUCUGUACAUGCUACAACUUCUUAGAGCCACAGAAGAGACGUGAGUGCCAGAUGGACCCCAGAUAUGGAUGAGCAUUGCUGAAAAUUCAACAAGCCCUCACAUUACAGGCACUAGUCCUCCUUGAAUACCCCACAUACCCCAUAUAUUAAAUAUAUACAAUAUAAAUGUAUAUACAUAAACGUAUAUAUUUCUUUUCCAUUUUAAUGAAAAUCUUUC
ensembl:lncRNA